ACACAUGCAAGUCGAACGGUAACAGGAAGCAGCUUGCUGCUUYGCUGACGAGUGGCGGACGGGUGAGUAAUGUCUGGGAAACUGCCUGAUGGAGGGGGAUAACUACUGGAAACGGUGGCUAAUACCGCAUAACGUCGCAAGACCAAAGAGGGGGACCUUCGGGCCUCUUGCCAUCAGAUGUGCCCAGAUGGGAUUAGCUUGUUGGUGAGGUAACGGCUCACCAAGGCGACGAUCCCUAGCUGGUCUGAGAGGAUGACCAGCCACACUGGAACUGAGACACGGUCCAGACUCCUACGGGAGGCAGCAGUGGGGAAUAUUGCACAAUGGGCGCAAGCCUGAUGCAGCCAUGCCGCGUGUAUGAAGAAGGCCUUCGGGUUGUAAAGUACUUUCAGCGGGGAGGAAGGUG
rnacentral:rRNA from 1 species